UAGCAAGUUUCAAGAUUACUUUGGAAUUUUAAAUGCCACUUAUUAAACUUUCAUAUUUUUGUAUUAAAAUUUAGAAAAAAUACAUAUCUUAUUAUUAGAUUUUUAAUAAGCAUAAGCACGUAAAAAAUGGAGUUGUAACAAAGAAAAUCCAUUCAAGUUUGUGGGAAGGAUGUUAUUGGAGUUUUUGAGACAAUAUGAUUUAAAACUGGUUUGAAAUUUAUUGUACCAUUUCUUACAUUUUUUUUUUCUUUUUGAUUUGAGAUUUUAAAGGAAGUCAGAUCUUGUUGUUAGUUUUUCAAGAAGCUUUAGUAUGUAAGAAGAAGAGUUAAACAAGAGAAAUCAAAGCUAAUUUGUAGAGAGAGAUUUUAAAGGCUACGACCAUAGUAAGUAGCCAAUUUUUUUUCCCUUGGUUUGAUUCUUAUUUUUUCAAUUUUUUUUUUAUUAAAUUUGAGUGCAUUUUGGCACAAGAAAGAAAUUAAUCUAAAAUUUGUACUUAGCCUUUGGGCUAUUUAUUUUACAUUUGAGUUUACUCAAGCAACAUU
rnacentral:lncRNA from 1 species